GAUGAACGCUGGCGGCGUGCCUUACACAUGCAAGUCGAACGGCAGCACGGGUGCUUGCACCUGGUGGCGAGUGGCGAACGGGUGAGUAAUACAUCGGAACGUACCUUAUCGUGGGGGAUAACGCAGCGAAAGCUGUGCUAAUACCGCAUACGCCCUGAGGGGGAAAGCGGGGGAUCGCAAGACCUCGCGCGAUUAGAGCGGCCGAUGCCUGAUUAGCUUGUUGGUGGGGUAAAAGCCCACCAAGGCGACGAUCAGUAGCUGGUCUGAGAGGACGAUCAGCCACACUGGGAAUGAGACACGGCCCAGACUCCUACGGGAGGCAGCAGUGGGGAAUUUUGGACAAUGGGGGCAACCCUGAUCCAGCAAUGGCGCGUGGGUGAAGAAGGCCUUCGGGUUGUAAAGCUCUUUUGUCAGGGAAGAAACACCGGCUCUAACACAGUCCGGGAAUGACGGUACCUGAAGAAUAAGCACCGGCUAACUACGUGCCAGCAGCCGCAGUAA
rnacentral:rRNA from 1 species